rnacentral:rRNA from 1 species
ACUCAAAUGAAUUGACGGGGGAGCGCACAACCAGUGGAGCAUGUGGUUUAAUUCGAGACGAAGCGAAAGACCUUACCCAGGCUUGACAUGUACCUGCACGGUUACGGAAACGUAGCCUUCUUCGAGAGUGGUACACAGGUGUUGCAUGGCUGUCGUCAGCUCGUGUCGUGAGAUGUCGGCUUAAGUGCCGUAACGAGCGCAACCCCUGCCGGAAGUUAUAUAUCUUCCGGGACUGCCUACCAUUCAGGUGGGAGGAAGGAGGGGACGACGUCAAGUCAGCACGACCCUUACGUCUGGGGCAACACACAUCCUACAAUGGCGUGAACAACGGGUCGCGAAGGAGUAAUCCGGAGCCAAUCCUAAUAAAACACGCCUCAGUUCAGAUUGAGGGCUGAAACCCGCCCUCAUGAAGCCGGAAUUGGUAGUAAUCGCAAAUCAGCAGGUUGCGGUGAAUACGUUCUCGCUCCUUGUACACACCGCCCGU